rnacentral:miRNA from 1 species
ACAUAGUCGUACGGUGAAUGUU